UGGUGGCAUGACUGUAUUGUUUCCGAGAAAUCUACGAUUUAAUCAGAAAUAGAAGGAAUUGAACUGUAUUGAUAUGGAACACGAUGUUGACGUUAUUGCUGAGAACGUAGUAAGAUCGCGCUAUGAACGUAGUAAGAUCGCGCUAUGAACGUAGUAAGAUCGCGCUAUGAACGUAGUAUAAUCGUGGUAAGAACGUGUUAUAAUCGCAAUAAGAUCGUGUUGCAAUCGGAUAACUCGUGGUAUGGUCGUAGUGAGCACGUGAAGAGCGUAGAAAGAUCUUGAUAAGCGUAGUGAGGUCGCAGAAUAAGCACGGCGAGAACGUGGUAUAAUCGUAGCGGGAUCUUUGUAGAAGCGUAGAGAGGACGUAGUAGCAUCGUGAAAGCAACGAAAAUUAACAUUUUCAUGCCGCUCAUACAGCGACCUCACCACGAUCUAAAUCUAUUUUAGAUCGCGGUGAGCGUGGUGCGAUCGUGGUCUAGUGGGACUGGGGCUUUAAUCAGA
rnacentral:lncRNA from 1 species